UACGUAGGGUGCAAGCGUUAUCCGGAAUUAUUGGGCGUAAAGCGUUCGCAGGCUGUUUGUUAAGUUGGAUGUUAAAUCUUUGAGCUUAACUCAAAAUUGGUAUUCAAAACUGACAAGCUAGAGAGAGGCAGAGGUAGGUGGAAUUCUGUAUGUAGGGGUAAUAUCCGUAGAUAUGCAGAGGAACGCCACAAGCGAAGGCAACCUACUGGGCCUUUUCUGACGCUCAUGAACGAAAGCGUGGGGAUCAAACGGG
rnacentral:rRNA from 1 species